GGCUCAGUAGCUCAGUGGUAGAGCAGGGAUUCAUAAGCCCAAGGUCGCAGGUUCAAAUCCCGCUUGAGCCA
rnacentral:tRNA from 1 species